AGAGCGAACGCUGGCGGCAGGCCUAACACAUGCAAGUCGAACGGACUCUUCGGAGUUAGUGGCGGACGGGUGAGUAACACGUGGGAACGUGCCUUUAGGUUCGGAAUAGCUCCUGGAAACGGGUGGUAAUACCGAAUGUGCCCUUCGGGGGAAAGAUUUAUCGCCUUUAGAGCGGCCCGCGUCUGAUUAGCUUGUUGGUGAGGUAAUGGCUCACCAAGGCUACGAUCAGUAGCUGGUCUGAGAGGAUGACCAGCCACAUUGGGACUGAGACACGGCCCAAACUCCUACGGGAGGCAGCAGUGGGAAUCUUGCGCAAUGGGCGAAAGCCUGACGCAGCCAUGCCGCGUGUAUGAUGAAGGUCUUAAGGAUUAGUAAAAUACUCUCACCGGUGAAGAUAAUGACUGUAGCCGGAGAAGAAGCCCCGGAUAACUUCGUGCCAGCAGCCGAC
rnacentral:rRNA from 1 species